rnacentral:lncRNA from 1 species
GGGGUUGCUGCCAGCUGAGGACAGCUGGUUCACCUGCUUGGACCUGAAAGAUGCUUUCUUUAGCAUCAGAUUAGCCCCUGAGAGACAGAAGCUGUUUGCCUUUCAGUGGGAAGAUCCAGAGUCAGGUGUCACUACUCAAUACACUUGGACCCAGCUUCCCCAAAGGUUCAAGAACUCCCCCACCAUCUUUGGGGAGGCGUUGGCUCGAGACCUCCAGAAGUUUCCCACCAGAGACCUAGGCUGCGUGUUGCUCCAGUACGUUGAUGACCUUUUGCUGGGACACCCCACGGCAGUCGGGUGCGCCAAGGGAACAGAUGCUCUACUCCGGCACCUGGAGGACUGUGGGUAUAAGGUGUCCAAGAAAAAAAGCUCAGAUCUGCCGACAGCAGUUCACCCUUUCUCCCCAGGUGAUCUAGUGUGGAUCAAGGACUGAAACGUAGCCUGUUUGUGUCCACGGUGGAAAGGACCCCAGACUGUCAUCCUGAGCACUCCCACCGCUGUGAAGGUAGAGGGAAUCCCAACCUGGAUCCACCACAGCCGUGUAAAACCUGCAGUGCCUGAAACCUGGGAGGCAAGACCAAGCCCAGAAAACCCCUGCAGAGUGACCCCGAAGAAGACAACAAGCCCUGCUCCAGUCACACCCGGAAGCUGACUGGUCCACGCACGGCCGAAGCAUGCAGAAGCUCAUCAUGGGAUUCAUUUUUCUUAAAUUUUG